GAAAAAUAUUCAAAUUAUUUGAAAAGGAGUUUGUAGAUAGUCUGGGAGUGAUGAUGCAUGAAGUUGGAAGUGGUGGUGCAAUACACUCAUUUGAACUUAAUGACGAAGGAUUCACAUUCUUAUGGUUAUGAGCAGCAACAUACUCCACAUAAGUAAUGCUUCCUUAUAUUUUAUAAGGUGCAAGAACUGUUUAUGCUUGGAAAUCUGGACUCAUUUUGAUUUAAACUCCAAUGUACUUUAUUAUCAUUAUUUG